UGGUCAAAAGGGAAAGAGCCCAGACCUACAGCUAAGGUCCCAAAGUGCGUGUUAAGUGGAAAAGGAUGUGGGAUUUCGAAGACAACUAGGAUGUUGGCUCAGAAGCAGCCAUACAUUCAAAGAGUGCGUAAUAGCUCACUAGUCGAGAGGUCCUGCGCCGAAAAUGUCCGGGGCUGAAACACAACACCGAAGCUUAGGAAUGUAGUAAUACAUUGGUAGAGGAGCAUUCUUAAAGGGAAGAAGCAGUACCGACAAGGAGCUGUGGACUUUUAAGAAGAGAGAAUGCCGGAAUGAGUAGCGAGAUGGAGGUGGGAAUCCUCCAGGCCGAAUAUCCAAGGUUUCCAGAGUAAAGCUGAUCUGCUCUGGGUAAGUCGGGACCUAAGGCGAGGUCGAAAGACGUAGUCGAUGGAUAACAGGUUGAAAUUCCUGUACCGCAUAUAAACAGAACUGUGGGGACACAGACAGGGAAUGGAAUCCGGGGAUGGAGAACCCGGAGCAAGCGAGGUAGGAGUGCUGUUGGCAAAUCCGCAGCACGAUCUGAAGACGUGAUGCGUACCGAACAUAAGUAGGGAAGUCCAGGCCCCUGGCUGUCAAGAAAAGCCGCUAUUGUUUUAUAUGUGCCCGUACCGCAAACCGACACAGGUGGAUGAGGAGAGAAUCCUAAGGCCGACGGGAGAAGUAUUGUUAAGGAACUCGGCAAAAUGACUCCGUAACUUCGGGAGAAGGAGUGCCAUGAGAGUGGCCGCAGAGAAAUGGCCCAAGCAACUGUUUAGCAAAAACACAGGUCUAUGCAAAACCGCAAGGUGAAGUAUAUGGGCUGACGCCUGCCCGGUGCUGGAAGGUUAAGGGGAGAGGUUAGCGCAAGCGAAGCUUUGAACUUAAGCCCCAGUAAACGGCGGCCGUAACUAUAACGGUCCUAAGGUAGCGAAAUUCCUUGUCGGGUAAGUUCCGACCCGCACGAAAGGCGUAAUGAUUUGAGCACUGUCUCGACAAUGCAUCCGGUGAAAUUGAAGUACCAGUGAAGAUGCUGGUUACCCGCGCCAGGACGGAAAGACCCCAUGGAGCUUUACUCCAGUUUGGUACUGGGAUUCGGUACUGCACGUACAGGAUAGGUGGGAGACUUUGAAACUUGAACGCCAGUUUGAGUGGAGUCGCUGUUGGGAUACCACCCCUGCAGUAUUGGAUUUCUAACCAGUCACCGUGAUCCGGUGAUGGGACAAUGCCAGGCGGGGAGUUUGACUGGGGCGGUCGCCUCCGAAAGGGUAUCGGAGGCGCUCAAAGGUUCCCUCAGAAUGGU
rnacentral:rRNA from 1 species